rnacentral:rRNA from 1 species
UACGCAGGGGGCUAGCGUUGUUCGGAAUUACUGGGCGUAAAGCGCACGUAGGCGGGUUUUUAAGUCAGGGGUGAAAUCCCGGAGCUCAACUCCGGAACUGCCUUUGAUACUGGCAAUCUAGAGUUCGGAAGAGGUGAGUGGAAUUCCCAGUGUAGAGGUGAAAUUCGUAGAUAUUGGGAAGAACACCAGUGGCGAAGGCGGCUCACUGGUCCGAUACUGACGCUGAGGUGCGAAAGCGUGGGGAGCAAACAGG